CCUACGGGUGGCUGCAGUGGGGAAUCUUGGACAAUGGGCGCAAGCCUGAUCCAGCCAUGCCGCGUGAGUGAUGAAGGCCUUAGGGUUGUAAAACUCUUUCGCCGAGGACGAUAAUGACGGUACUCGGAGAAGAAGCUCCGGCUAACUUCGUGCCAGCAGCCGCGGUAAUACGAAGGGGGCUAGCGUUGUUCGGAUUUACUGGGCGUAAAGCGCGUGUAGGCGGGCUGGAAAGUUGGGGGUGAAAUCCCGAGGCUCAACCUCGGAACUGCCUCCAAAACUUCCAGCCUGGACUCAAGUAGAGGCAAGUGGAAUUGCGAGUGUAGAGGUGAAAUUCGUAGAUAUUCGCAGGAACACCAGUGGCGAAGGCGACUUGCUGGACUUGUAGUGACGCUGAGACGCGAAAGCGUGGGGAGCAAACAGGAUUAGAUACCCCAGUAGUC
rnacentral:rRNA from 1 species